rfam:Myotis brandtii contig260459, whole genome shotgun sequence.
GCCGGUGUGGCUCAGUAGAUAGAGCGUCAGCCUACGCACUGAAGGGUCCUGGUUCGAUUCCGGCCAAGGGCA